rnacentral:rRNA from 1 species
GACGUAGGGUGCAAGCGUUGUCCGGAUUUAUUGGGCGUAAAGAGUUCGUAGGCGGUUGCCUAAGUCUGAUGUUAAAAGCCCGGAGCUCAACUCCGGUAUGGCAUUGGAAACUGGAAAGCUAGAGUAGGGUAGAGGGGUGUGGAAUUCCAGGUGUAGCGGUGAAAUGCGUAGAUAUCUGGAGGAACAUCAGUGGCGAAGGCGACACCC